rnacentral:rRNA from 1 species
UGAGGAAUAUUGGUCAAUGGGCGAGAGCCUGAACCAGCCAAAUCGCGUGAAGGAAGACUGCCUUAUGGGUUGUAAACUUCUUUUAUACAGGAAUAAAAAAGGGGACGUGUCCCUUAUUGCAUGUACUGUAUGAAUAAGCAUCGGCUAACUCCGUGCCAGCAGCCGCGGUAAUACGGAGGAUGCGAGCGUUAUCCGGAUUUAUUGGGUUUAAAGGGUGCGCAGGCGGGCUUUUAAGUCAGCGGUGAAAUCUCGGGGCUUAACUCCGAAACUGCCGUUGAAACUGGGAGUCUUGAGUAUGGAUGAAGUAGGCGGAAUUCGUUGUGUAGCGGUGACAUGCUUAGAUAUAACGAGGAACUCCGAUUGCGUAGGCAGCUUACUAAGCCAUAACUGACGCUCAAGCACGAAAGCGUGGGGAUCAAACAGGAUUAGAUACCCCUGGUAGUCCACGCCGUAAACGAUGAUUACUAGUUGUAUGCGAUAUACCGUAUGUGACUAAGCGAAAGCGAUAAGUAAUCCACCUGGGGAGUACGCCGGCAACGGUGAACUCAAAUGAAUUGACGGGGUCAUAGCUG